AGAGUUGAUCCUGGCUCAGAACGAACGCUGGCGGCACGCUUAACACAUGCAAGUCGAACGGAGUUAUGGGGCUUGCUCCAUAACUUAGUGGCGGACGGGUGAGUAACACGUGGGAACAUGUCCGUUUGUGGUGGAUAGCUUCGGGAAACUGAAGAUAAUACAGCAUAAGCUCGAGAGAGGAAAGAUCGCAAGAUCGCAGACGGAGUGGCCCGCGGCUGAUUAGGUAGUUGGUGGGGUAAUGGCCUACCAAGCCAAUGAUCAGUAGCUGGUCUGAGAGGACGGACAGCCACACUGAAACUGAGAUACGGUUCAGACUCCUACGGGAAGCAGCAGUGGGGAAUAUUGGACAAUGGGGGCAACCCUGAUCCAGCGAUGCCGCGUGAGUGAUGAAGGUCUUAGGAUUGUAAAGCUCUUUUGACAGGGAAGAUAAUGACGGUACCUGUAGAAUAAGCACCGGCUAACUCUGUGCCAGCCGCUGC
rnacentral:rRNA from 1 species